GGUUGCCUCAGUACGGCGAGUGAGCGGCAACAGCUCAAAUUUGAAAUCUGGCCGCAAGGUCCGAGUUGUAAUUUGCAGAGGAUGCUUUUGGCGAGGUGCCUUCCGAGUUCCCUGGAACGGGACGCCAUAGAGGGUGAGAGCCCCGUACGGUUGGACCACCGAGCCUCUGUAAAGCUCCUUCGACGAGUCGAGUAGUUUGGGAAUGCUGCUCUAAAUGGGAGGUGUACGUCUUCUAAAGCUAAAUACCGGCCAGAGACCGAUAGCGCACAAGUAGAGUGAUCGAAAGAUGAAAAGCACUUUGAAAAGAGGGUUAAAAAGUACGUGAAAUUGUUGAAAGGGAAGCGUUUAUGACCAGACUUGGGCUUGGUUGAACAUCCGGCGUUCUCGCCGGUGCACUCUGCCAGUCCAGGCCAGCAUCAGUUUGUCCCGGGGGAUAAAGGCGGUGGGAAUGUGGCUCCCCCGGGAGUGUUAUAGCCCGCCGUGCAAUGCCCUGGGACGGACUGAGGAACGCGCUUCGGCACGGAUGCUGGCGUAAUGGUCAUCAACGACCCGUCUUGACACACCGGACCA
rnacentral:rRNA from 1 species